AUAUAUAUAGAGUCCGGCUAUGGUGCUUGUAAAAGCACCAAGCACUUGGUGCUUGUAAAUUUUUUACUGUUAGAUCUACUUCUCGGAUCGUUUUCAACCAUUAGAUUAUACUAUUCAACCAACCACCCACUCAACCCUAGGGGGCCUACAUCACCCUAACCGCAUAUCUCUUAAUCCAAUGGCUACAAAUCUACAAGCAUCAAUUACUUGGUACUUUUAAAAGCAUAGGAGCUCAAUUAUAUAUAUAUAUAUAUAUAUAUAUAUAUAUAUAUAUAUAUAUAUAUAUAUAUAGGCUGGGGCUACUAUACUCAUAUGAGUAUAGAGCCCUUUGUGCUCAUAAGUUUUCAACCGUUCGGAUGAAAAAAUGUGCGGUUAGGAUGAGAGUGGUUACGGUUAGAUUGAUAGUGAGCCCCUAGGGUUGAGUGGGUGGUUGGUUGAAUAGUAUAAUCUAACGGGUGAAAAUGGGGUAGAUCUAACGGUUAAAAACUUAUGAGUACAAGAGGCUCUAUACUCAUAAGAGUAUAGUAGCCGGACUCUAUAUAUAUAUAUAUAGUACGUCUCCUAUACUUUCGAAAGUAAGGAGAGCUCCGUACUUGUAAGUUAUUUUCGAUGAUAGGACAUUCGAUUCGACGAUCGGCUCCGUUAAGUAUAAUCUACUCUAUUGGAACUAUCUAGAAACCAAAUUUUAUAAUUUUUUGACAUUAAUUACCAAGCGAUCAAAAGGUCUCAAAAAUGACUAUUUUAACGGCCGAUGUGGCAUGUUUUUAAGUUCAACGGUGUAGAAGUAUCCAAAUUACAUAAAAAUUUAAUAAAAAAUUCUACUUAAUAUCAAUAUCAAGAUCAAUAUUUCCGAUUUGAAAUUUAGUCCUUUAUCACUAUUUUUUAUGAAAUUUUUAUUUUCGGCCCUUCAUUUUGAGGUUACUCGUUCACUAGAUAAACGAAGUCAAAAAAUUAUGAAAUUUGGUUUCUAGAUAGUUCCAAUAGCGUAGAUCAAGUUUAACGGAACCGAUCGCUGAAUCGGAUAUCUCAUCAUCGAAAAUAACUUACAAGCAACGGAGGCCUCCGUACUUUCGAAAGCAUAGGAGCCUAGCUCUAUAUAUAUAUAUAUAUAUAUAUAUAUAUAUAUAUAUAUAGUUGGGCUAGAAUACUAUCGAUAGCAAACCGGUACUUUUGCCACCCGUUUAUUUUUGAUGAUAGAGCCUCCAAAUCGACGAUCAGUACCGUUCAAUAUGAUAAAUACCACUUGAAGUGUUUAGAAAUCAAAUUUCAAAUCUUUUCGACACCAUUUGCCUAUUGAUCAAAGGGUUUCAAAAUUUGUAAUUUUAAUGGUUGAUAUGAGGCGUUUUCUCGUUUAACGGCGUAAAGAUAUCCAAAUCAAUUGAAUUUUUGUUAGAAAAUUUUUUAAGCUAAUUAAAACAAGAUCUAUACUCUUGAUCUUGAUUACAAGACUCCUAUCAUCAUUUUUUUAAGAAUAUUCAUUUUUGGCCAUUCAUUUUUGUGUCUACUCGAUGGAUAAGAGAACAAUAUCGAAAAUAUAUGAAAUUUGAUUUCUAAAUACUUUAAAUGGUAUAGAUCAUGUUCAACGGUGUCGAUCAUCAAUUUGGAGGCUCCAUCAUAAAAAACAAAUGCAUGGCAAAAGUGCCGGUUUGCUAUUGAUAGUAUUCUAGCUCAACUCUAUAUAUAUAUAUAUCAUUGUAAAUCUUACAUUUCUUUCAUCUUAAGAUUCACAAUAUUUUUUAAAAUUUUUUAAUUUUAAAGAAUAUUAAUAUAAUUAUUGAAAAAUUAUAGAUUUUUGGAUAGAUAGAACAUAAUGUUA
rnacentral:lncRNA from 1 species